GGAAGCUUGCUUUCUUUGCUGACGAGCGGCGGACGGGUGAGUAAUGCCUGGGAAAUUGCCCUGAUGUGGGGGAUAACCAUUGGAAACGAUGGCUAAUACCGCAUGAUAGCUUCGGCUCAAAGAGGGGGACCUUCGGGCCUCUCGCGUCAGGAUAUGCCCAGGUGGGAUUAGCUAGUUGGUGAGGUAAUGGCUCACCAAGGCGACGAUCCCUAGCUGGUCUGAGAGGAUGAUCAGCCACACUGGAACUGAGACACGGUCCAGACUCCUACGGGAGGCAGCAGUGGGGAAUAUUGCACAAUGGGCGCAAGCCUGAUGCAGCCAUGCCGCGUGUAUGAAGAAGGCCUUCGGGUUGUAAAGUACUUUCAGUGGUGAGGAAGGGAGUGUGGUUAAUAGCCAUAUUCUUUGACGUUAGCCACAGAAGAAGCACCGGCUAACUCCGUGCCAGCAGCCGCGGUAAUACGGAGGGUGCGAGCGUUAAUCGGAAUUACUGGGCGUAAAGCGCAUGCAGGUGGUUUGUUAAGUCAGAUGUGAAAGCCCGGGGCUCAACCUCGGAGUUGCAUUUGAAACUGGCAGGCUAGAGUACUGUAGAGGGGGGUAGAAUUUCAGGUGUAGCGGUGAAAUGCGUAGAGAUCUGAAGGAAUACCGGUGGCGAAGGCGGCCCCCUGGACAGAUACUGACACUCAGAUGCGAAAGCGUGGGGAGCAAACAGGAUUAGAUACCCUGGUAGUCCACGCUGUAAACGAUGUCUACUUGGAGGUUGUGGCCUUGAGCUGUGGCUUUCGGAGCUAACGCGUUAAGUAGACCGCCUGGGGAGUACGGUCGCAAGAUUAAAACUCAAAUGAAUUGACGGGGGCCCGCACAAGCGGUGGAGCAUGUGGUUUAAUUCGAUGCAACGCGAAGAACCUUACCUACUCUUGACAUCCAGAGAAUCCUGCGGAGACGCGGGAGUGCCUUCGGGAGCUCUGAGACAGGUGCUGCAUGGCUGUCGUCAGCUCGUGUUGUGAAAUGUUGGGUUAAGUCCCGCAACGAGCGCAACCCUUAUCCUUGUUC
rnacentral:rRNA from 1 species